rnacentral:rRNA from 1 species
UACGUAGGGUGCGAGCGUUGUCCGGAAUUAUUGGGCGUAAAGAGCUCGUAGGCGGUUUGUCGCGUCUAUCGUGAAAACUGGAGGCUUAACUUUCAGCGUGCGGUGGAUACGGGCAGACUUGAGUUCGGUAGGGGAGUCUGGAAUUCCUGGUGUAGCGGUGAAAUGCGCAGAUAUCAGGAGGAACACCGGUGGCGAAGGCGGGACUCUGGGCCGAUACUGACGCUGAGGAGCGAAAGCGUGGGGAGCGAACAGG